rnacentral:rRNA from 1 species
UACGAAGGUGGCAAGCGUUGUUCGGAUUUACUGGGCGUACAGGGAGCGUAGGCGGUUGGAUAAGCCCUCCGUGAAAUCUCCAGGCUUAACCUGGAAAGUGCAGAGGGGACUGUUCAGCUAGAGGAUGGGAGAGGAGCGCGGAAUUCCCGGUGUAGCGGUGAAAUGCGUAGAGAUCGGGAGGAAGGCCGGUGGCGAAGGCGGCGCUCUGGAACAUUUCUGACGCUGGAGGCUCGAAAGCGUGGGGAGCAAACAGG